rnacentral:rRNA from 1 species
CGGGUCUAGCGGCGGACGGGUGAGUAACGCGUGGGAACGUGCCCUUUGCUACGGAAUAGUCCCGGGAAACUGGGUUUAAUACCGUAUGUGCCCUUCGGGGGAAAGAUUUAUCGGCAAAGGAUCGGCCCGCGUUGGAUUACGUAGUUGGUGGGGUAAUGGCCUACCAAGCCGACGAUCCAUAGCUGGUUUGAGAGGAUGAUCAGCCACACUGGGACUGAGACACGGCCCCACACUCCUACGGGAGGCAGCAGUGGGGAAUCUUACACAAUGGGGGCAACCCUGAUCUAACCGUGCCGCGUGAGUGAUGAAGGCCUUAGGGUUGUAAAGCUCUUUCAGCUGGGAAGAUAAUGACGGUACCAGCAGAAGAAGCCCCGGCUAACUCCGUGCCAGCAGCCGCGGUAAUACGGAGGGGGCUAGCGUUGUUCGGAAUUACUGGGCGUAAAGCGCACGUACGCGGACUGGAAAGUUGGGGGUGAAAUCCCGGGGCUCAACCUCGGAACUGCCUUCAUAACUAUCAGUCUGGAGUUCGAGAGAGGUGAGUGGAAUACCGAGUGUAGAGGUGAAAUUCGUAGAUAUUCGGUGG